rnacentral:tRNA from 1 species
GGGGGGUUAGCUCAGCUUUGGUUAGAGUGCUACGUUGACAUCGUAGAGGUCGUUGGUUCGAGCCCAAUACUCCCCACCA